CGCACAUUGCGCCCGCCAGCAUUCUGGCGGGCAUGCCUGUUCGAGCGUCAUUUCAACCCCUCAGGCCCUGGUGCCUGGCGUCGGGGCGUUCCCUAGCGGGAAGCCCCCAGAGACAGUGGCGGACCCGCCGCGGCUCCGAGCGCAGUAGUAAAAUUCUCGCUUAGGAGGUCCGCGGGGGGGCUCCCGGCCGUAAAACACCCAAACACAUCAAGGUUGACCUCGGAUCAGGUAGGAAUACCCGCUGAACUUAA
rnacentral:misc_RNA from 1 species